AUUGAACGCUGGCGGAAUGCUUUACACAUGCAAGUCGAACGGCAGCAUAGGUGCUUGCACCUGAUGGCGAGUGGCGAACGGGUGAGUAAUACAUCGGAACGUGCCCAGUCGUGGGGGAUAACGUAGCGAAAGUUACGCUAAUACCGCAUACGAUCUACGGAUGAAAGCGGGGGACCGUAAGGCCUCGCGCGAUUGGAGCGGCCGAUGUUAGAUUAGGUAGUUGGUGGGGUAAAGGCUCACCAAGCCGACGAUCUAUAGCUGGUCUGAGAGGAUGAUCAGCCACACUGGGACUGAGACACGGCCCAGACUCCUACGGGAGGCAGCAGUGGGGAAUUUUGGACAAUGGGCGCAAGCCUGAUCCAGCCAUUCCGCGUGCAGGAUGAAGGCCUUCGGGUUGUAAACUGCUUUUGUACGGAACGAAAAGGCUCUGGUUAAUACCUGGGGCUCAUGACGGUACCGUAAGAAUAAGCACCGGCUAACUACGUG
rnacentral:rRNA from 1 species